rnacentral:pre_miRNA from 1 species
UCUUCAUUUUGCAUACUCUCUCGCCACUCUGACCGGUGAGAGAGCAAGCAAAAUGAAGAGA